CGUACACUGUAACAAAUUGCUGUAAAAAUACAGCAUAUUUUGUACAGUAAUAUACCGUUCUUUGUAAAUACAGCUGAAUACUGUAAAUUCACGUGUUUUUCAAGAACAAAAUAUUAACAGCAAGCUGCCGUACAAUCUUACAGCAGAUUACAGUAUUUUUCUGGUUUGGGUUGAUUUGAGUGUGACUGUUGCUGCAGUCUGACUGUUACUCGUCUCGGCAAAUCUUCCUGCUCAUCACCACAUUUAGCAAACAGCCAACACAAAGAAGUGACGAAAUAGGUUUAAAAUAUUCUGUAUCAGUGAUUUUACUCAUUACUGAGGGAAGAUGUGGAGAAAAGGAAGAAUUGAGGACGACGAUUUUCGGGCCGGCUCAGACCUGCAGGGACCAUCUGUAGCUGAUCCAUCCUGCUCCGGUUCACUAAACAAGGCGCUUCCUUGGUAUCAACCCUGAGAGGGGAACAAAGGCCAGCCAGGAGAAGGUGAUGUCCAAGAGGUCGGGGAAGCUGCUCCAGAAAAAGACAUCUACUGUAAAUCCCCAUGUAGUCACCUUUAUAAAAAGACUGAUGGACUCUGAGUGGGACUUCAUGUAAACCCACAGCACCUCUCCACACAGAACCUCACUUUCACAAAGGAAAAGCCCAGUCUGCAACCAGAUGUUCAUGCUGUCAUUCUAAGGUAACAAGUCUCAGUAUUGUGUUUGGUUCAGUAUAAAAUACUUCAGUCCUGGUGUCUCAGUUUUGUAGUUCCAGGUUUGUUCCAUGACUUGGUGUUUACUGAACAUGAUCAAGAGUUAUGAAAGACUGAUUCUGAAGGCAGGGUACCUGAAAUGUGAUGUGCAAUUUUUAAACAGAUUGUUGACAACCUGUUAAACAUCAUUAAUUAUUUUUAUAGAUUGUAUUUUACAAGACUUCAAUUUCUUGAAAUUUGUUAGCUGCUGAAUGUGUUCAAUGCAGUAUUAAAUAAUUUAAGUGAUAUAUAGGAAUCUUUUGUUACAGUUCAGGAAAAAUGGAAACCAAACUCAGUGUACCUGAACUAGAACAUGCACAAUGAGAACCUGUUCAGCAUGAGGAAAUGAUUGUAUGUUACUAAGAUUUAAUGGGUUAAAUAAGUCAGUUUUUGAACUAUGUUUGAUACAGUGUUGGCUUUAAUGAAAGCUUAAUGUUGAAAAGUCAUCUCUUGUCUGAGCCAUUUCUAUGCUAUGCUAUUUCCUGGGGCUUUCAUUUUGAAAGCCCCAGGAAAUAGCUCUCUAAACAGCAUAAUACCGUAAUAUUUUUUACAGUAUUAAACUGUUGUUGUAGAAUACGGUAGGAUUACUGUAAAAUAACAGUGUGCUGCUGGCAACUUUAGCUGCCAGCUCUUUACUGUAAAUUUACAGGGAAAUUUCUUAGAGUGUAGAUUUUUUUAUUUUUAUUUUUUUUUACUUUUAUUUAUUUAUCGUGAACAAAACAACGUGUGUUCAUAAUAUCACUCGGUUACACGGUGUGGCUAAUUUUAGUCCUUUUUUUUUAGCUCUUUAGCUAGUAGCUCUUGUGAUGGGUCAAUAUAUAAUUGAGGGACUUUUGAAGUCCAUGGGAUAUAUUUUGCAUACAUUUUCAUUAAAAAAUGUUUUUUUUAAAUUUAUGUUCAUUAUCAUCAUGUCUUUACAACACCAUCCGAAUUUAAUAACAACCACCGUCUAAUUAGCUAAACAAUAAUAAAAUGAGCUUAUUCAAAAA